CUUUACUGUAGCCUGGUAUUGGGUUCGGGCUUUGACUGCGCAGGAUAGGUGGGAGACCGAGAAGUGUGCCUUGUGGGGCACAUAGAGUCAACGGUGAGAUACCACUCUGUCAGAGCUAGAAUUCUAACAUUCACCCGUGAUCCGGGGAAGGAACCGUAUCAGGUGGGCAGUUUGACUGGGGCGGUCGACUCCUAAAAGGUAACGGAGGCGCGCAAAGGUGUUCUCAGGCUGGUUGGAAAUCAGCCGUAGAGUGUAAAGGCAGAAGAACGCUUGACUGUGAGAGUGACAACUCAAGCAGGGUGGAAACACGGCCUUAGUGAUCCGACGGUAUGCGCGUGGAAGUGCCGUCGCUCAACGGAUAAAAGUUA
rnacentral:rRNA from 1 species